rnacentral:rRNA from 1 species
GACGAACGCUGGCGGCGUGCUUAACACAUGCAAGUCGAGCGGAAAGGCCACUUCGGUGGUACUCGAGCGGCGAACGGGUGAGUAACACGUGAGUAAUCUGCCCCUGGCUUUGGGAUAGCCACCGGAAACGGUGAUUAAUACCGGAUAUGACCACUUCCCGCAUGUGAUGGUGGUGGAAAGUUUUUCGGCCAGGGAUGUGCUCGCGGCCUAUCAGCUUGAUGGUGAGGUAAUGGCUCACCAUGGCUUCGACGGGUAGCCGGCCUGAGAGGGUGACCGGUCACACUGGGACUGAGACACGGCCCAGACUCCUACGGGAGGCAGCAGUGGGGAAUAUUGGACAAUGGGCGGAAGCCUGAUCCAGCAACGCCGCGUGAGGGAUGACGGCCUUCGGGUUGUAAACCUCUUUCGCCUGUGACGAAGCGCAAGUGACGGUAACAGGUAAAGAAGCACCGGCCAACUACGUGCCAGCCGCCGCCGUAA